rnacentral:rRNA from 1 species
UGAACGCUGGCGGCAUGCCUAACACAUGCAAGUCGAACGCGAAAGCACCUUCGGGUGUGAGUAGAGUGGCGGACGGGUGAGUAAUGCUUGGGAAUCUGCCUAGUAGUGGGGGAUAACUCGAGGAAACUCGAGCUAAUACCGCAUACGCCCCACGGGGGAAAGAUUUAUCGCUAUUAGAUGAGCCCAAGUCAGAUUAGCUAGUUGGUGGGGUAAAAGCCUACCAAGGCGACGAUCUGUAGCUGGUCUGAGAGGACGAACAGCCACACUGGGACUGAGACACGGCCCAGACUCCUACGGGAGGCAGCAGUGGGGAAUAUUGGACAAUGGGCGAAAGCCUGAUCCAGCAAUGCCGCGUGUGUGAAGAAGGCCUGCGGGUUGUAAAGCACUUUCAGUUGGGAAGAUUAUGACGUUACCAACAGAAGAAUCACCGGCUAACUCC